rnacentral:lncRNA from 1 species
CCAACUAUGCAUAGAAUAAUUAUACGGCCAAAAAAAAAAAUGCAUAGAGUACAUUGGUCAGUUUUAGCGAAGCCGCGACGUUGUGCCAGUUUGACAAGUCAUGUGCGGCGCACAGGCUGCCUUGCUUUCUGGAAUUCUGUCGGCGAUGGCUCACUCGCGGACGCUCCCAGGCAAGGUCCGAGAGUGCAUUAAUUCAUUCGCUGUUCCCUGUGCAUUCCAGAUCAGCCAAUCCCCAGC